rnacentral:tRNA from 1 species
UAUGUUUUAGUAUAAUAUGUACAAAAGUUUUUGAUACUUUAAGAAAUGGAUUAAUUCAUUAAACAUAU